AACGAACGUUGGCGGCGUGGAUUAGGCAUGCAAGUCGAACGAAUCCCUGGGGGCUUGCUCUCAGGGGAAAGUGGCGAAAGGGGCAGUAAGGCGUGGGUAACCUACCCUGGGGACUGGGAUAGCCGUCCUAACGGACGGGUAAUACCGGGCGACGUAGCGGAGGGGCAUCUCUUUGCUACCAAAUGAAUUUCGCCCUGGGAGGGGCUCACGUGGUAUUAGCUAGUUGGUGGGGUAAUGGCCUACCAAGGCUUAGAUGCCUAGCUGGUGUGAGAGCACGACCAGCGCCACUGGCACUGCGACACUGGCCAGACU
rnacentral:rRNA from 1 species